rnacentral:lncRNA from 1 species
AUGUGUGGAAUUACCAACCCUUAGGCAUCCAAGUUCAGAGGGAACUCUAGGGUCCCUAAGUAUGGCUUACCAUAGGAGGGCAGAGCUUAAAGAACUAAGAAUAAAUGCAAAGUGAGGGGAUUAGAGGAAACCAAAGCAAAAGGUGGUCAUACCCAGCCAUGGGUAAGACUGGCACACCCCUAACCCUCAACUUGGGUUUAAAU